rnacentral:rRNA from 1 species
GACGGGACCCGCACAAGCGGUGGAUGAUGUGGUUUAAUUCGAUGCAACGCGAAAACCUUACCCACCUUUGACAUGUACGGAAUCCUUUAGAGAUAGAGGAGUGCUCGAAAGAGAACCGUAACACAGGUGCUGCAUGGCUGUCGUCAGCUCGUGUCGUGAGAUGUUGGGUUAAGUCCCGCAACGAGCGCAACCCUUGCCAUUAGUUGCUACGAAAGGGCACUCUAAUGGGACUGCCGGUGACAAACCGGAGGAAGGUGGGGAUGACGUCAAGUCCUCAUGGCCCUUAUAGGUGGGGCUACACACGUCAUACAAUGGCCGGUACAGAGGGUAGCCAACCCGCGAAGGGGAGCCAAUCCCACAAAGCCGGUCGUAGUCCGGAUCGCAGUCUGCAACUCGACUGCGUGAAGUCGGAAUCGCUAGUAAUCGCGGAUCAGCAUGUCGCGGUGAAUACGUUCCCGGGUCUU